UCCGAUAUAGUCCAGAGGUUAGGAUAUCUGGUUUUCAAGUGCUCUCGGAUUUGGAAAACCCAGAAGACCCGGGUUCAAUUCCCGGUAUCGGAA